GUAGCAAACAACCGUGGGAGGUAGAUAGGCUGUCUGCCUCCAGAACAAAGACAGACAAGCUUCCUGCCCCUGAAGAGACUGGAGCCCCUGAGGCGGCCAGAGCCCCUGCCCAGCCCACCCCUGCACUGCAGCCCCCUGGGUGUGCCCUGUCUGGGCCCGUCCGCGUGGCCUCAGGAGGACGUGGGGUGAGAGGAGCCAGGGCAAAGAUGCUGAUGUCUGUGCCGCGGGCUCUUCCGUGAGUGACAAAGCCUUUGUCCCUGAACCGGGAGUCUCUUAUUCUCUGCCAGCGUCGGGCCGUCUGUCGACUUGCAAGGAAGCUCAAGGGAGGACUCAGCCUAAGGACAUUCACGUUGGGUGAGAGUAUGCUGCACACCCCCUCCCCCAUGGUGGCUGGGCCUUGGUGACAUGUCAAGGCACAGAAAACCCAACCAGCAGUGGUUCAGCCCAUCAGGACAUUUGGGUUUACUCAACAUGAAGUCUCAAGCAGAGUCCUUAAAAAACCCCCGAAGUCAUGUAGAUAAAGGAGCCGUCUACACUGACCGAGCAGAGGUGCUCCUCCCUCCGGGGGACCCGCUCCCCAUCUCAGGCCCCCCAGUGAGGGCCCCUCGACUCUGUGCUCGAAAACGGCCCGCACCCCGUGCUCCCCUGGCCACACCUGCUCUGGGUCUCCCGUUCCGGACCCCGUGCCGUCCCGGGGGCACAAGGGACCUCGCUCUGUCCCCCAGAGAGGGCAGGGAUUCUGUCUACUCCGUGCACACAGGCGGCCUGGACUGACAACUGUCCUGAUUCGACAAAUACCUGUGGAAGAGUGAGUGAAUGAAUGAGCGACAGGAGAAACCGUUUUUCCCCACGGAAACAUGAGACUCUGAGACAGACUAGCCUUGGAGAGGCGCUUGCUUUCCUCGUGACCUGGUGAGUCCCAUUUCCUCGUGACCUGGCGAAUACGUCCUGGCGGCCCCUCUGGGAGGGGGCCCCCACCCCAGCCCAGCCCCCUCUCCUCAGGCCGCCAGCGGGGGUCUCCAGAAGCAGCCCCGUGCGCACGCCCCGGGGAGGACCAGGGUUCGGGGGCGGGGGCUGCGUCGGCAACGGUGCUCAGGACCAGCGAAAACCACCACCAACUUCUCAGAGUGGGGCGGCCGCUCUCAGCCGCAGAUACGCAAACUGCGCAACAGUUUGGAGGAAAAGCGUGCGGGGUUCGGUGGAGUUGACCCAAUCUGGCAGGUCCAGGGGUGCCGGGUCUGCUGUGCUCCCGGGUGAGCCCCCACAUCAGGGCAGAAGGAAACACGGACAAGGACUGUCUUUGCAGCAUUGCCUGUAAUAACUUUCAACAAAGAUGGAGGAAGAGAGAAAGAAGCUUUUUAAAAAAGAAAGAAGGAGAGAGAAAGAAAGGGAAAGAA